CUCUGAUGAAGAUAAAGCCCAAUUAGCAAGUAAAAUGAGUCCUCUGAAAGAUGAACCAUGGCCUAUACAUCCUUGGGAACCAGGUUCUUCUAGAGUUGGCCUUAUUGCUGUGAAACUGGGUAUGAUGCCUCUGUGGACUAA